GAUGAACGCUGGCGGCGUGCCUAAUACAUGCAAGUCGAGCGAACAGAUGAGGAGCUUGCUCCUCUGACGUUAGCGGCGGACGGGUGAGUAACACGUGGAUAACCUACCUAUAAGACUGGGAUAACUUCGGGAAACCGGAGCUAAUACCGGAUAAUAUAUUGAACCGCAUGGUUCAAUAGUGAAAGCCGGUUUUGUUUUCCUUUAUGAUUGGAUCCGCGCCGCAUUAGCUAGUUGGUAAGGUAACGGCUUACCAAGGCAACGAUGCGUAGCCGACCUGAGAGGGUGAUCGGCCACACUGGAACUGAGACACGGUCCAGACUCCUACGGGAGGCAGCAGUAGGGAAUCUUCCGCAAUGGGCGAAAGCCUGACGGAGCAACGCCGCGUGAGUGAUGAAGGUCUUCGGAUCGUAAAACUCUGUUAUUAGGGAAGAACAAAUGUGUAAGUAACUAUGCACGUCUUGACGGUACCUAAUCAGAAAGCCACGGCUAACUACGUG
rnacentral:rRNA from 1 species